AUAAAGGCUUUAGUGGAGGGAGGUGGCUACAGUCUCGUGGUCCAAACCCCAAAGAAUUUUUUUAUUUUCAUGUCCUUGGCUUCAGGGACAGUGCUGUGUGAGCAAGGACUAGAAAAAGAAUGAGAACAUUACAAGCCUUCCCCACAGUCUUUGCUGGUAACUGAAUCAAGACAGAUUUCAACCAACUGCAUGACAGCAGCAUCAUCAGCCUGCAAUCCACUGAGGCUUUCUCAAAGGCCCUCCAAUGGCUUUGCAGUUCCUGAUGACAUCCAAACAUCAAGGCAAGGAUGCCGUGUUUCUAUCGGACACCAAAGGAGGUUUGCAAAACAGGAGGCUCCUUCUUCCCCACUCUCUGGGGGUUUCCGUGUCACUGAAUGAGAAUGAAUGAUGAGCUGCUGUUUGUCAGAUGCAUUUGUUGUUUCUAUGAGUUAACAACUGUUUGGAUUUCAUCCCUUUUAGAGAUUGGCUUCAAGUGAGGCAUGAGUGGGAUGCAAAAACAAAAUAGAAAAUCUGGAACACCUUCUCUUUUGCCUCCCCAAGGUAAAAGUCCAGGUAGGAGGGGAUGUUUGUGUAGAAAAAUGUUCCCAAAAGCACUACUUGUUAAGCACAUCAGAACCACACAGCACUGAUCCCUGUAAAGACAAGACACUAAAGUUGUGCAUAGUUGCAAGGUGGAAGCGAAGACCGAGUUAAGCAAAACCCAGCAAAAUAAUAUCUGGCAAUAUCUUGCCUUUGAGAGAAUGUGCACAGGUAUGGGAUGAACACAUCUUGCCUGACAGAGACAGCCUCUUCUUUAAAAGGUGCUCAGCACUAAUGUGCCUGUUGAGAAAAAUCCAGAGCACAGGGGUUACCUGGUUUGCAGGCCUAUUUCUGAGGGAGCCUUGUGAGCUGAGAAUUCUUUGACAUGUUAAAAGAAGAAAAGAAAGUUCUGCUGAUUCUAUGCCUCCUUAUAUUUACAUAUAUGAAAAUGAAAAAUGUUACCUGGGGAAAGAAGCAGUCAGUAGAAAACUAACAAAAAAAUUAAAAAUAUGAAUAUAAAAGAAAGCACUUCUUUUUUUCCCACCAAUUAAGAUGGAAAGGUAUCUGUACAGCAUCACAUGCUCUAAAAUCAUGUAACAGAACUGGCAUCCCCCAUUAGCUCAGUGCCAGACUAACCGGGCACUUCAGACCUUCACAUCCUUAAGUGCUGACCCUGAAACCUAGCCAGAUCAGGGUGUUGAAAAAACCCAAGUAUUCAAGGUUUGGGACAACAACUUCUAACCCCAGAGUCUUUACAUUAAAUUCAUGUCCAAACAAAGCCAAAUUUCCAUGAACAAACCUUUCUAUUGGUUAUUCCCAUUUCCAUACAGUUAUUUCAAAUUACUUUUUCCCAGCUUUAUCAAGUUUUCACCAUUCCAAACUCUGAAUUUGCUUCAGAAGAUUCUCAGAUACACGAUAAUUCUUCUCAGUUUACUAAUUUUUACUGUUAGGUCUACAGUAAAAUAUUUCCUUUGUUAAGUGCCAAAAAACAUACAGAUCCACCUGUGGAGGGAAGCUGUGGGAUAACCCAGUACAUUUCCCUAGAGUUUCUUAGCCAGUCUUGGUCUACAAGGUAUAAAAUCUGAAAACCUUCCUCCUCUGUGCAUUAGAACAUGACACAGCUGUUUGACACUCUGUCUUUGCUAAGGUCAUUGAAAACUGAGGUUUGGAAGAGAAUGCAAAAAGCUAAACUUGCACCACGUGCUUUGGUUGCAGCCUGGCUGAGGAGUGCUGUAAGACUCGAGGGUGUUUUCUGAUCUCCUCAAUGGAACCAUCUGACAUGGAUGAAACACACUGCAUGUCACAAGAGCUGGAAUGAUGGAACCUAUGGGAUAGACAAGUUAAUCUAGUAACAAUUAAAACACUUGUUGAAGUAGUCCAGAAAAAGCAUAGAGAAGAAGAAAAAUACUAGAAAAUAAUAUUGUACUACAAAGUCUUUUGGGUUUUUUUUAAUACGUACACCAGGUAUGUAAACUUUUCUAGCUGUAAAGAAGCUCGGCUUCAUCAGGCUUGUGAAACCAGUUUGGUUGCAGAGUUUCAGAGGCAUCCUUAGGCAUCUCAGGCAUACAUACUCAUAAUUUUCCUGGCUUUCUCUUGAUUUUACCCUUUUAAAUGCAUUUUCAGGUCUCACUCUACCUGAAUAGUGUUUGUGAAUUAUAUGCCAAGCAACAUUAAAAUGCAUAAAAUUG